UACGUAGGGGGCAAGCGUUGUCCGGAUUUAUUGGGCGUAAAGAGCGUGUAGGCGGCCAGACAGGUCCGUUGUGAAAACUCGAGGCUCAACCUCGAGAUGUCGAUGGAAACCGUCUGGCUAGAGUCCGGAAGAGGAGUGUGGAAUUCCUGGUGUAGCGGUGAAAUGCGCAGAUAUCAGGAAGAACACCUAUGGCGAAGGCAGCACUCUGGGACGGUACUGAUGCUGAGACGCGAAAGCGUGGGGAGCGAACAGG
rnacentral:rRNA from 1 species